rnacentral:rRNA from 1 species
CCUACGGGCGGCAGCAGUGGGGAAUAUUGGACAAUGGGCGAAAGCCUGAUCCAGCCAUGCCGCGUGUGUGAAGAAGGCCUUCGGGUUGUAAAGCACUUUCAGCGGGGAAGAAAGCCUUGGGGCUAAUACCCUCGAGGAAGGACAUCACCCACAGAAGAAGCACCGGCUAACUCCGUGCCAGCAGCCGCGGUAAUACGGAGGGUGCGAGCGUUAAUCGGAAUUACUGGGCGUAAAGCGCGCGUAGGCGGUCUGAUAAGCCGGUUGUGAAAGCCCCGGGCUCAACCUGGGAACGGCAUCCGGAACUGUCAGGCUAGAGUGCAGGAGAGGAAGGUAGAAUUCCCGGUGUAGCGGUGAAAUGCGUAGAGAUCGGGAGGAAUACCAGUGGCGAAGGCGGCCUUCUGGACUGACACUGACGCUGAGGUGCGAAAGCGUGGGUAGCAAACAGGAUUAAUACCCCGGUAGUC